GAGGGUAUAGCUCAGUGGCAGAGGGUGUGCUCAGCAUGCACAAGGUCCUGGCUUCAAUCCCCAGCACCCCCA
rnacentral:tRNA from 1 species